UACGGAGGGUGCAAGCGUUAUCCGGAAUCACUGGGCGUAAAGGGCGCGUAGGCGGUCUGUUAAGUCCGAUGUUAAAGACUGGGGCUCAACCCCAGCAUUGCGUUGGAUACUGGCAGGCUUGACGGUUGGAGAGGCGAGUGGAAUUACCAGUGUAGCGGUGAAAUGCGUAGAUACUGGUAGGAACACCCAUUGCGAAGGCAGCUCGCUGGACAACCCGUGACGCUGAGGCGCGAAAGUGUGGGGAGCAAACCGGAUUAGAUACUCCGGUA
rnacentral:rRNA from 1 species